CUCAGCCAUCCACCUGCGCCCUCUCUCUUUCUCAAGUCCCUCCUUUCUCCAGCGUCUCUCACAACUUCUCCACAUUCAUCCUCUCUGGCGCCUCCCAACUUGUCAUUCUCUCUGGCGUCGACAGCUGUUGCUCUUCACCAGCUAAAGCUUUUGAUUCGAGGUAAGUUUCAUCCUUCACCAGUUGCUGCUCCUUCACCGGCUGAAGUUUUUGAUUCGACGCCUUCGGCGAGGGUUGGCUGAGCCGAUUGACGAGGGCUUCGACGAGAGCCAUCUCUCGCAGAUCUGGGCGACGGCUGCUCGAGGCUCGAGCGCAACGGCUCGCUCGAGCCAGCGCUUACCUAGAUCUGUGUGACGCUCGCUCGAGCAAGCGUCACGAGCAAAGCAGCAACGCUCUGCUCGCUCGAGCGAGCGACUCACAGGUGAGCGCUGCUCGCUCAAGCGAGUGUAGAGAUGACAUCUUGCGAGACUAUUGAGCGAUGAUACUAGCUGUGGAAGGGCUCUGCUCUAAUAUGACAUCUUUCGGUUGCCGCCGCCCGGCAAGAAAGGGGUGAAGCCGGUUCAGUCGCUCGGCCCCUUCUUGCCGGGCAGGGGGCCGAGGUAUGUGAAGACGAGGGAGGAGAUAUUGGGGGAGCCGUUGACGGAGGAAGAGGUGAGGGAUUUGGUUAAUGGGUGUUUGAAGUCCAAGAGGCAAAUGAAUAUGGGUAGGGAUGGUUUGACUCACAAUGUGUCCAGGAGUUGUUUACUGAAGAACGGAUUGCAAGUGUCUCGCUUUCGAGUCAUUCGUUUGCCAGAUUACAAGCAUAUAUAAAAUCGACAUCAAAUGAGAUGCAGAUGAAUCCUACCUUGGAAGCUCUCAGAAGGCCACUGUUGCAGAAGCGCAAGCAUUCUACUUAGAUCUAUUGCUGGCCUAACCUGAUGAUGAAGGAUGACAUUCAGCUGGUUCAGAUGAAGGCGCUUUACUGGUUAUCUGAUGGCUUAUGAAGACUCAACACAGAAAAACAUUGAGAUUAUCUCAGUUGAAGAAGGAAAUAGUGACUGGUUUUUAGUUGGGAUACUCUGUACGUCUAUUUUGUUCUUAGUGAUCUUUCUUGUGUUUCCUAUUGUUCUCCAUCAGUUUGAGCAAUAGUACAGUGCCUGUUAUUCAUCUGAGUCAUUUCUUCA